rnacentral:rRNA from 1 species
UACGGAGGUGGCGAGCGUUGUUCGGAAUUACUGGGCGUAAAGGGCGCGUAGGCGGGGCGAGAAGUCGGGUGUGAAAGCCCUCGGCUCAACCGAGGAAUGGCGCUCGAGACUCUCGUUCUUGAGUCCCGGAGAGGACGGUGGAAUUCCCGGUGUAGCGGUGAAAUGUGUAGAGAUCGGGAGGAACACCGGUGGCGAAGGCGGCCGUCUGGACGGUGACUGACGCUGAGGCGCGAAAGCGUGGGGAGCAAACGGGAUUAGAUACCCCGGUAGUCCACGCGGUAAACGAUGGGGGCUAGGUGUGGGGGGUAUCGACCCCCUCCGUGCCGAAGCUAACGCAUUAAGCCCCCCGCCUGGGGAGUACGGCCGCAAGGUUGAAACUCAAAGGAAUUGACGG